UUUGAAUUCUCUGUCUGAAAGUUCACAUAUCUGCUUCUCCAGGAUUGGUCCCUGGUGCCUUAGUUUGUUUUGUGAGAUCAUGUUUCUUUCUGGACGGCAAUGAUGUUUGAUGUUUAUCAGUGUCCAGGCAUCAAAGAGUUGGGUAUUUACUGUAGUUUCACAGUCUGGGCUUAUUUGUACCCAUCCUUCUUGGCAAGGCUUUUCAGGUAUUUGAAAGGAAUUGGGUGUUGUGAUAUAAGUUGUAUCUGCAUUAGGGGGUAUCCCAUACCCAGUAAUGCUGUGGUUCUUGCAGACUUGUAGAGGUACCACCUUGGUGGUCUUGCAUAAGUUCCAGAAUAACCAUCUGUAUUUCCAGGCAGAGGCUGAUUCUUUUCAAAAACUGGGAAAAGAACAAAUACAGUUAUUUUCCCUAGCUUUCUCCCAAAGAAAUGGGGUCGGUCUGUGCUGAGCCUCUUUGGGCUUGAGAUGGGGUGACACAAUAACCUUGUUUCCACCACUGAGACUGUGCUGCAUCAGAAUUGAAGCCAGCAUAGCACUGCCUCACCCAAGGCCUGCUAUUACCACUAUCCCACUACCUGAUUACUGCCUAUGUUCGCUCAAGGUCCUGGCACUCUGCAAUCAGCAGGUGGCAAAGCCAGCCAGGCUUAUGUCCUUCCCUACAAAGUGGUGAGUUCCCCCAGGCCCUAGGCAGGUCCAGAGAUGUCUUGGAGCUACACACUGGAGUCAAAACCUUAGAAGUGUACCUGGCGUUCUAGUCUACUGUGGCUGAGCUGGCCCUCAAACCAUGAGAUACGGUUCUUCCCCCUCUUCCCUCCCGUUUCCACAGGAAGAGGAGCCUCACUCCGUGGCCACCUCCACCAUAGGUCUACCAGGAGUACUGCCAGGCUACCGCUGAUACUCAUUUAAGGCACAAGGGCUCUUCAGUCAGCUCGUGGUGAAUGCUGCCAGGCCUGAAACAUACCCUUCAGUGCAGUGGGCUCCCCUUUGGGCCUAGGGAAGGUACAGAAAUGCCAUUCAGUAUCCAAGGCCUGGGAUUGGGGACCCUAAAAGUCUGCCUAGUGCUCUACCCUCUAUGGUCAAACUGGAACCUGAAAACAGCACAUCUGAGCCUCACUCAAGACCAACCAUGUACUACCUGGUAAUUACCACUGGUUAUUCAGGGCCCAAGGGCUCUUCAGUCAGCAGGUGAUGGAUCCUACCAAGACAGGAUCUUCCCUUCAAGGCCAUGGGUUCCCUUCUGGCCCACAGUGUGUCUAGAAAUGUUGGUUCUGGAACUAAGGCCUAGAAUAGGGGCCUAACGACUCUGACCUCUGCCCUAUCCUACUAUGGCUGAGCUGAUAUCCAAGAUGUAAGACAAAAGUCUCUUUACCCUUUCCUCUCCCCUCCUCAAAUGGAAGCAGGGGGUCUUUUUUGGAGCUGUGAGCUAUGUUACCCUGGGUUGGGGGAAGGGUGGUACCAGCACUCCCUUAGCUGCUCCAGCUGGUGUGUCAGUAAGUCUCAUUCUCCCCAAAUCCGCUAGCUCUGAACCCAGCUCGGCACUAGGACUGGUAGCCCUUGUGGCCUAGAGUGCCUUUCAAGUUUAUUUAGAGCCCCAGAGCACCUUAUCCUGUAGUGGUGAUACUUGCCAGAUCUCACAUUCUGACCACUGGGAUGUGUGGUUUCCCUCUGGCUAGGGUUGGUCAGAAUGCUCCCUCCAUGAGUGGGCAUCUGCUGAGUUCAGCCCAGUUUUGCUUUCUGCUGUAACAGGGCAGCACUGAGUUCAAUGCAAAGCCUCGCAAUCACUGUUCUCUCCCUCUCUCAAAAGCACAGAUUAUCUUUCUCCUGCUGUACGGGAAUGAGACAGAGUGGCAUCAGUGAUUCAAGACUAUCUUUCCUACUCCCUUCAGUGCUUAUUUCAGUGAUAUGAAGUGAAACCAGCUACUGUAUGUUUUUUUACGCACCUCCUAAACUUAUGCACCUCCUAAACUCCAUUGACUGGAUGUGACAUCCACAUAACCAUAGUAGAGCACUCUUUGAAAUGAAUAAAAAGGCCCAAUGGUGUGCACCAAAUGCUUUCACAAUCCUUCUCCACUUGGAGAGGAUGAAAUGGAAAAAGUGAAGAUUGGAGAAAAAGAAAAAUGAAAACAAAGGUCAGAGUAAACAACCUGAAGAGCAAUGACUUUUAAGACCUCCUGAACUUGCAUUUAAUGCUGACUCCGACCAAUGAUCCUUUUGGCUUUGAAAAUGCCACAGGGUCUUUUCUUCCCGAGACCAGAGUGUUCUGAAAUAUUCUGCUGCUCACCACAGACAGGAGCACUAGAGUUGCUGCUUUGAACCCAAACUGAAAUCUAAGUUAGAGAAGCCCCAGUAAGUGAGCUGACCCUGAGAAUGCCUUUCCAUAGGAAGUCUGAUUUUUCAGAAAAGAAAGUGCUAAAUAUACCAAGUUACUAGAGUUCUCUGCCAUCAUAACAAACUAAAAGUUUCUUCUCUCUCUCCUU